rnacentral:rRNA from 1 species
CCUACGGGAGGCAGCAGUGGGGAAUAUUGCACAAUGGGGGAAACCCUGAUGCAGCGACGCCGCGUGAGUGAAGAAGUAAUUCCGUAUGUAAAGCUCUUUCAGCAGGGAAGAAAAUGACGGUACCUGAGCAAGAAGCCCCGGCUAACUACGUGCCAGCAGCCGCGGUACUACGUAGGGGGCAAGCGUUAUCCGGAUUUACUGGGUGUAAAGGGAGCGUAGACGGUAGGGCAAGUCUGGAGUGAAAUGCGUCAGCUUAACUCCGGAACUGCGUUGGAAACUGGCGGACUAGAGUGCGGGAGGGGUAAGCGGAAUUCCUAGUGUAGCGGUGAAAUGCGUAGAUAUUAGGAGGAACACCGGUGGCGAAGGCGGCUUACUGGACCGUAACUGACGUUGAGGCUCGAAAGCGUGGGGAGCAAACAGGAUUAGAUACCCCGGUAGUC